rnacentral:rRNA from 1 species
GACGAACGCUGGCGGCGUGCCUAAUACAUGCAAGUAGAACGCACAGUUUAUACCGUAGCUUGCUACACCAUACACUGUGAGUUGCGAACGGGUGAGUAACGCGUAGGUAACCUGCCUGGUAGCGGGGGAUAACUAUUGGAAACGAUAGCUAAUACCGCAUAAUAUUGAUUAUUGCAUGAUAAUUGAUUGAAAGAUGCUAUUGCAUCACUACCAGAUGGACCUGCGUUGUAUUAGCUAGUAGGUGAGGUAACGGCUCACCUAGGCGACGAUACAUAGCCGACCUGAGAGGGUGAUCGGCCACACUGGGACUGAGACACGGCCCAGACUCCUACGGGAGGCAGCAGUAGGGAAUCUUCGGCAAUGGACGAAAGUCUGACCGAGCAACGCCGCGUGAGUGAAGAAGGUUUUCGGAUCGUAAAGCUCUGCUGUAAGAGAAGAACGGGUGUGAGAGUGGAAAGUUCACACUGUGACGGUAUCUUACCAGAAAGGGACGGCUAACUACGUG